GGUAUUGUAAUAAGAUUUUAAUUGAAUGCUAAAAGAAUGGAAAAUUAAAAAAAAACUUUUUUAAAAAUAAAAAUUGAAUUUUUUUUAAUUUGUGCAAAAACAAUUAUAUUUAUUAAAGACAAGAAGACCCUAAGAAUUUAAGAUUUUACAAUUAAAAAGUUUUUUUUUAAAAUCUUGAUUGGGGCGAUCAAAAAAUAUUAAUAACUUUUUAAAAUUUAAAUUGAUCUAUUAUUAAUAAACUAAUGAAUUAAAUACUCUAGGGAUAACAGCGUAAUAAUUUUUGAUAGAUCUUAUUGACAAAAUAGUUUGCGACCUCGAUGUUGGAUUAGGAUUCUUUUUUAAUGAAGAAGUUAAAAAAAGAAGUUUGUUCAACUUUUAAAUUCCUACUUGAUCUGAGUUCAGACCGG
rnacentral:rRNA from 1 species